AUUGAACGCUGGCGGCAUGCCUAACACAUGCAAGUCGAACGAGUGGCGGACGGGUGAGUAAUGUCUGGACAACUGCCUGAUGGAGGGGGCUAACUACGGGAAAAGGUAGCUACAGCCGCAUACACUCCUAUGUGGCCUGGUGGGAUGCGCUUGUUGGUGUGGUAACGGCUCACCACGGCGACGAUGCCUACCUGGUCUGAGAGGAUGACCAGCCACACUGGAACGGAGACACGGUCCAGACUCCUACGGGAGGCAGCAGUGGGGAAUAUUGGACAAUGGGCGCAAGCCUGAUGCAGCCAUGCCGCGUGUGUGAAGAAGGUCUUCGGAUUGUAAAGUACUGUCAGCGGGGAGGCGUUACCCGCAGAAGAAGCACCGGCUAACUCCGUGCCAGCAGCCGCGGUAAUAC
rnacentral:rRNA from 1 species